AUACGUAGGGGGCGAGCGUUGUCCGGAAUGAUUGGGCGUAAAGGGCGCGUAGGCGGCCCGGUAAGUCUGGAGUGAAAGUCCUGUUUUUAAGAUGGGACUUGCUUUGGAUACUGUCGGGCUUGAGUGCAGGAGAGGUAAGUGGAAUUCCCAGGGUCGCGGUGAAAUGCGUAGAGAUUGGGAGGAACACCAGUGGCGAAGGCGACUUACUGGACUGUAACUGACGCUGAGGCGCGAAAGUGUGGGGAGCAAACAGGAUUAGAUACCCUGGUAGUCCACACUGUAAACGAUGAAUGCUAGGUGUAGGGGGUAUCGACCCCUUCUGUGCCGCAGUCAACACAAUAAGCAUUCCGCCUGGGGAGUACGGCCGCAAGGUUGAAACUUAAAGGAAUUGACGGGG
rnacentral:rRNA from 1 species